rnacentral:lncRNA from 1 species
CUGAGGUGCGUGUGGGGUUGGAGGGGUAUCACGGAGAGCUGGGUCUUGGAGAAAGAGCCAGAGGGGGAAGGGUGGGAGAGCCGUUUCUGUCAGAGAACUUGGCAUAAACACAGGCAUCCAGGUGUGACACUGCCCGGUUUCACUGGUCCUACUUGUAAAAGUAGGGCUGGCAAAGGCAAAAGCAGGGCUGAAGCUGCAAAGCAAGGGUGGCAUGCCUGGCUCGAGGGUACCUGGGGUUUGGGUGAGGAGCUUGGAUGCUGUCCUGUGAAGUGGGAGACCCUAGGAGGUGAGCUACUUUGCGCAUGGCACGUCUCUGGACUGGAGAACUACCUUAUGUCCUGCGUAUCAGAGUCCUCCGUUACCAUUUCUUGGAGAGACAUCGAGGAGGAUCACAAACACAUGGAGGAGAGGACACCUGGCUUUAACCUACCUUCGAUAUCACUAUCGUGUUGGCCGAGUCACUUUUCUCAUCUACAAGAUGAAGCCGAUUCAGGGAGAGAGAUAUUGGAGGAUGACGGAGACCUGAACUCAUGUUUGUGACAGUUUUUCCUCUUGAGAAAAGACAGAAAAGUGCUUGGAAAUAUAUUGAUAAUUUGCCUAAGACAUAUGAGACAAAUAAAUUGGUAUAAUCCAGGAAAAUACUAGCCCAUUUAGAAGUCACCUUUAUAUCAAAAGGCAUUUACAAGAAAAGUAAUGGCAACAUUGUUCACAAUUCAAAAUAACUGAAAACAUUCCAAAUGGUUACCAAUAGUAGAAAGGAUGAUUUUGGUGUAUUUGUAAAAUGGAACAUUAGAGAUCAAUGACAAUGAACAAAUAGUAACUGCACAGAACAACGUGGCUGAUUCUUACAGGCUGCUGAGCAAACAGAGCAAGAAAAAAGAAACAGAUGAAACUAAACGAUAAAUUCUUUAGAGACACACACCAAUGCAUAUGAGAUAAAACUAAUGGAGAGCAAGAGAAUUAUUAACACAGAUAAUUAUAUAAUGGCCUCCUCAGUGUGGGAAGAGAAUGGCAGAUAACAAUUGGGGUGAAGAGUUUCAGAGGCAGAGGUAAUGCUUUAUUGAAGUGUGUGGUGAAUAUAUGGAUGUUUACUUUAUUAUUCUUUACAAUGUACGUUAUAUACACACACAUCACAUGUACAAUGUAUAUAAUACAUAGUAUAUAUAAUGUACAUACAGCAUAUUUCAUAAUUUAUAAAUAUGAAAACUAUAUGAAAAAACCCCACUUCACCAUAUAUGUGAAAGAAGACCUAAGUGAAUGGAGAAAUAUUUACUGAGGGAUCAUAGCACUUUUUGUAUAUUUUGAAGACGAAAAUUUUCAUUGAAUUUAAAGAUUUAAAUGGGAUUUCACUCAAGAUCCCAUAUAUAGGCAAGAAAAUUUAAGAAAAAGAUUUUAUAAGAGAAAGGAAAGAAAAAGAAAAGGAAAAGGAAUGGAGGUUUAUUAUCCAAAAUAUAAAAUUGCAUUAUAAGUUUAUAAUAAAAUAGGAAAUGAUGACAAAAUAAACCAUCAGAGCAACGUAACACAAUGUAUAUAUAUAAUAUGUAUAUAGUAUGUGUACAUAGUAUACAUCGUAUAUUUAUGCACAUAGUAUAAAAACAGAUCCUACAUUUUCUUCAUCUAAUAAAGGAUAUUUACAAACAACAUAUAUAACUAAUAUGAUACCCAGUAGUGAAAUAUGGAACACUUUUCCUGAGUUUGGGAACAAGGAAAGGAUAUGCAGUACCAUCACUUCUAUUUAGUGUUGUAAUGGAAGCCCUAUCCAGUGCAAUACAGCUAGAAAAAGAAAAAAAAAGUAUAAAUAAAGAAGCAAAUAAAAUUAUUUGCUGAUUACGUGAUUUUAGAAAAAUCCAAAAGAAACUACAGACUCUUAAAAUUAAGAUGUAAAUUUAGCUAGGCUUCUGGCUACAAAAUCAAUAUAUAAAAAUCUAUUGCAUUUCUAUGUACUUAGCAAGAAAUAAGGUGAAAGUGAGAUUUAUAAAAAAAUAAUAAUAAUAAAGAAUAAAAACAUCCAAAACCAACAAAUGCCUAGGAACAAAAUCUGAUAAAGAUCAUUAGCAAGACUUUUGCAUUGAAAACUACAAAAGGGGGGCACCUGUGUGGCUCAGUCGGUUAAGCAUCGGACUCUUGAUUUCAGCUCAGUUCAUGAUCUCAGCGGGGAGUCUGCUUGUCUCCCUCUCCCCGUGCCCCUCUCCCUGCUCACUCACUACCUCUCUAUAUAUAUAAAAUAACAAAAUCUUUAAAAGAGGAAAGUAAAAGGGUGCCUGGGUGGCUCAGUUGGUUAAAUGUCUGCCUUUGCCUUCAGCUCUGGUCGUGAUCCCAGGGUCCUGGGAUGGAGCCUUCAUCAGGUGCCUUCCUCAGCAGGGAGUCUGUUCCUCCUUCUCUUCCUCUCCCUCCCCCCGUUGUGCUUUCUCUUUCUCACGUGUGCCCUCUCUCAAAUGAAUAAAUAAAAUCUUUUAAAAAACAAAACUACAUGGGAUGCCUGGGUGGCUCAGCGGUUAAGCAUCUGCCUUUGGCCCAGAGUGUGAUCCUGGAGUCCCAGGAUUGAGUCCCACAUCGGACUCCCUGCAUGGAGCCUGCUUCUCCCUCUGCCUGUCUCUGCACUCUCUCUGUGUCUCUCAUAAAUAAAUAAAUAAAAUAUUUAAAAAAAAUAAAAUAAAAAUAAAUAAAUAAAUAAAUAAACCAAAACUACAAACAUUGAGAGAAAUUAAAGAAAUGUUAUUCAUAGAUCAGAAAACUAUUAUUCCUCCAGAACCGAUCUAUAUAUUUGUUUGAGCCUGAUAGUGGGUGGCUUACACAACAAAAAUGUAUUGUCUCACAGUUCUGGAGGCCAGAAGUCCAAAAUCAAGGUCUCAGCAGGGCCAUGCUCCAUCUGAAGGCUCGAGGGAAGGAUGUGUCUCAGCCCUCUCUUCUAGCUUCUGGUUGUUGCCCUGUGGCAAUACAACUUCAGUCUUCACAUGACGUUCUCACUGUGUGCGUGUCUGUGUCCAAAUUUCCUCUUCUUAUAAAGACAUCAGUCAUAUUGGAGUAGGGACUCAUGCUACUCUAGUGUGACCUCAUCUUCACUAAUCACAUCAACAACAGUCUUAUUUUCAAAUAAGGUCACAUUUCUAGGUAUUGAGGGUUAGGACGUCAACAUAUGAGUUUUGGGGGGCAUAGUUCAACCCAUAACAGUAUUCCAUGCAUUCUGAUCUACAUUACAACCAGUUUUCUUUCAGGUAGCAAUUGACAAUCAAAACUUACAUUCAAAUGACUCUAAUUCAGACAAUGUUUCCCUGCUAUUUAAUUUUAGAGGACAACUUAGCACUGUCUUCUUGUGUAGCCCUCAAACACAAGAAGUGACUCUUCAAAAUCGAUCUCGUUUAAUGAAAUCUGCAACCAAUAUUAUGAAAUCCACAACUAAUAUUAUGGUUAUUUUUAUUCCUACUUACUCUUGUUUUAAGUAAGCAUCCUCCCUGAUUUGUGGUAUUGUUCCUUGCAGAGAACAGGGUUAAAGUCUCCUGGGUAUCAGGGAGAUAGAACUGGGGAAACAGUACUCCAUAGUGGAGUAGAGAUAAGAAGUCAGUAAACUAUACCUUAGCCCUCUGAGUCAGAUCCUAUUCCUCGGUGGGGAAGAAGUUAGAUAUUAUAGUCAAUAAUUAUUUUAUUCUAUAAUUCUCUUUCUUUCUUAUUGUCCAUCUCUCCUUCAAAAACAGACUCUGUCCCUAUUGAUCAUUGAAUCUCCAGCCCCUAGAAAAGCACUGUGAAAUACGGUGGCCACACAGUGGGUUUCAAAGAGGUAACACAAGAAAAGAAUGUAAAAAUCUCACUAAUAAUGUCUUAUAUGGAUUACAUGUUGCAAUGAUACUGUUUUGGAUGUAUUUGCUUAAAUAAAAUAUACUGUCUAAUACUAUCUGUAAAUGCUUAUAUGUAAUUUAUGUAUUUUUAGAGUAUGACUGUUAUAUGUAAUUUGAAAUGACAUACAGGGCUUGCAUUUCUUUUUUUUUUUUUUUUAAGAUUUUUAAUUUAUUUAUUCAUCAGAGACACAGAGAGAGAGAGAAGCAGAGACACAGGCAGAGGGAGAAACAGGCUCCAUGCAGGGAGCCCGACGUGGGACUCGAUCCUGGGCCUCCAGGAUCACGCCUGGGCUGAAGGCGGCGCUAAACCGCUGGGCCACCUGGGCUGCCCUUGCAUUGUAUUUCUACUGGACAGCUCUGCCCUACAAUAUUGCCUGGCACAUAGUAAGCACUCAAUAAAUAUU